ACGUAGGGUGCGAGCGUUAAUCGGAAUUACUGGGCGUAAAGCGGGGCCAGGCGGUUAUGUAAGAGAGAUGUGAAAUCCCCGGGCUCAACCCGGGAACGGCGUUGGUGACUGCAUAACUUGAGUAUGGGAGAGGGAGGUGGAAUUCCGCGUGUAGCGGUGAAAUGCGUAGAUAUGCGGAGGAACACCGAUGGCGAAGGCAGCCUCCUGGACAAGUACUGACGCUCAUGCGCGAAAGCGUGGGGAGCAAACAG
rnacentral:rRNA from 1 species